CUGGAUAAAAUUAUUCCAUCUCAGUCCUUAUAAAGAGACAGGUAACUCAUGACUGCUCAGCAGAGACGUCCACAUCACCUCUAGAUCUCACAGUGCUCACUUUGCUGUCUGUGACACCAGUUUUUUUUGGGGGUUCUUACAAACAAGCUGCAGAAAGGAUGAAGGCUGUUAUGAUCUUUCUGCUGUUGACGCUCGUCAAUGUCGUCCUCACGGAUGAACCCGAGGAGAAUCGUGAAAUUAAUCGAGGAAUCCCAUACUUAAUUGGAGGUAUAAGGUAUUUCAGUACGCCCCAAGUUGAAGUGGCUGAAGACAGACUGAGGCGAUACUAUGAAGAAUGAGUCUGUUCUUGAUUUUGAAGAUAUAGUUUGAGCUAUAUCUUUGUGCUUUGCAAAGAAACAAAUAAUUAGAUGAGUAAACAUGAAGCUCUUGAGAUGUUGUGAUUUUAGUCACAGCUCCAACUGAUGUUGAAAAAAGUAAAACUGCUUGAUAGUGAAAACUAUCCUGCUGAAUAAAGCUGCAUUCCAAAAGACCG